rnacentral:rRNA from 1 species
CGUGGCUAAUACCGGAUAUGACGCUCCGCCGCAUGGUGGGGUGUGGAAAGACUGUGUCGGUUGGGGAUGGGCUCGCGGCCUAUCAGCUUGUUGGUGGGGUGAUGGCCUACCAAGGCGACGACGGGUAGCCGGCCUGAGAGGGUGACCGGCCACACUGGGACUGAGACACGGCCCAGACUCCUACGGGAGGCAGCAGUGGGGAAUAUUGCACAAUGGGCGCAAGCCUGAUGCAGCGACGCCGCGUGAGGGAUGACGGCCUUCGGGUUGUAAACCUCUUUCAGUAGGGAAGAAGCCUUUCGGGGUGACGGUACCUGCAGAAGAAGCGCCGGCUAACUACGUGCCAGCAGCCGCGGUAAUACGUAGGGCGCAAGCGUUGUCCGGAAUUAUUGGGCGUAAAGAGCUCGUAGGCGGUUUGUCGCGUCUGCUGUGAAAACGCGAGGCUCAACCUCGCGCCUGCAGUGGGUACGGGCAGACUAGAGUGCGGUAGGGGAGACUGGAAUUCCUGGUGUAGCGGUGGAAUGCGCAGAUAUCAGGAGGAACACCGGUGGC